AUGUUCUCUGCAGGGAAGACAGUUAUUUGCUAUUUUGUAUUUCUUCUUAGAUUGCUAUCAAGGGAACUAAGAGAGGAUGUAGGCAUAUUGUUAAUGACUCUCUUCAGGCUGUAUUUGAGUGGGCCAGUGGCAGAACCAAAAGCUGGACUUAAAUGUCCUGCAUUUAAGGUCAGUUUUGCCUACUAGAUCAUCUUUUAUUGUAUAGCCAUAUUUAGAAAUUAGAAUCACUUAGUUUUCAAACCAGUCUAGCUAUCUGUAACUCCACCUAGUUUACUAACAGAUCGUUUCUUUUGAAAGUUGUCUUACUUAAGUUAACUUACUAGGAGUUACAGGCCAAAAUGUUGAAACCACAUGAGUGUUUGAGCAUCCAAAGGCCUCCUAGGCAUACUCACCAAGGCAGAGAGCUUAAGAGGGUUUCAUGUUACCCAGACCAGUACUGAUGGUCACUGGUUUGUGUUGCACUCACAUCUUUUUCUGGGAUGUGAAUUGUGAAAGGUGAGGAGUUGUUAUGUCAUCUGUGCUGCAAUUUCUGCUACCAAGCUGGUACUUCAACUACAUCUGGAAGGGCAGAAAAUUCCAGUCUUAAAAGUGGGGCUUUAGUAUUUGUAGGGUUUUAAGAUUUUUUUUCAGCAUUU
rnacentral:lncRNA from 1 species